ACGGAAGGCAGCAGUGGGGGAUAUUGCACAAUGGGGGAAACCCUGAUGCAGCGACGCCGCGUGAGUGAAGAAGUAUUUCGGUAUGUAAAGCUCUAUCAGCAGGAAAGAUAAUGACGGUACCUGACUAAGAAGCACCGGCUAAAUACGUGCCAGCAGCCGCGGUAAUACGUAUGGUGCAAGCGUUAUCCGGAUUUACUGGGUGUAAAGGGAGCGCAGACGGCAUGGCAAGCCAGAUGUGAAAGGCAGGGGCUCAACUCCUGGACUGCAUUUGGAACUGUCAAGCUAGAGUAUCAGAGAGGUAAGUGGAAUUCCUAGUGUAGCGGUGAAAUGCGUAGAUAUUAGGAGGAACACCAGUGGCGAAGGCGGCUUACUGGACGAUAACUGACGUUGAGGCUCGAAAGCGUGGGGAGCAAACAGGAUUAGAUACCCUGGUA
rnacentral:rRNA from 1 species